rnacentral:rRNA from 1 species
GGCUAACGCUGGCGGCGUGUCUUAGCCAUGCAAGUCGAGCGGACUUAUGGGGUAACUUAUAAGUCAGCGGCGGACGGCGGAGUAACACGUAGCUAACCUACCCUCUGGACGGGGAUAACCUACCGAAAGGUGGGCUAAUACCCGAUGUAGUCAUCCUGUAUAGGGGUGAUGAAAGGUGGGCUUCUGUUUACAAGCUCAUGCUGGAGGAGGGGGCUGCGGCCUAUCAGGUAGUUGGUAGGGUAAUAGCCUACCAAGCCGAUGACGGGUAGCCGGCCUGAGAGGGUGACCGGCCCGAGGGGCACUGAGAUACGGGUCCCACUCCUACGGGAGGCAGCAGGCUAGAAAUUUGGGCAAUGGGGGAAACCCUGACCCAGUGACGCCGCGUGCAGGAAGGAGCCCUUCGGGGUGUAAACUGCUGUCGUGUAGGGAGAAGGGUACUAAGGUGAACAAUCUUAGUACUUGACGGUACUACAGGAGGAAGCCCAGGCUAACCUCGUGCCAGCAGCCGCGGUAAGCACGAGAGUA